CGCGCAGGCGGCCUUUUAAGUCUGAUGUGAAAGCCCCCGGCUCAACCGGGGAGGGUCAUUGGAAACUGGAAGGCUUGAGUACAGAAGAGAAGAGUGGAAUUCCAUGUGUAGCGGUGAAAUGCGUAGAGAUGUGGAGGAACACCAGUGGCGAAGGCGACUCUUUGGUCUGUAACUGACGCUGAGGCGCGAAAGCGUGGGGAGCAAACA
rnacentral:rRNA from 1 species